AAUCAAGCUCUAUCUGAAUUAUAUUUGCUUUUAAAUGCGUGUUUACCAUGUAUUAGCAGCUAUUAGAAACGUUAGAUCUCUUAACAUUUCCAUUUUGCAAAAACGAGACCUUGAUUAUACCUGAAUUUAGACUUUAUUCUCGAAUAUGCCUGAAUUUCUACCAUACCUGUUGUAUUUCACAGGCUCUGGGCUAUUUUUUACAUGCACUCUCUGUCAUGUUUAAAUGAGCAUGUUUACCAUGUAUUAACAGAAAAGUAGAUGUAUUUAACAAGUUCUAAUAAGCAUGUCUACCAUGCUUUUAAAAACAUUUUGAUGGAUGCUCAAUUUUAUUAUGUAGGGAACUAUGUAUGGCUAAAGCAUCUCUUAUUUAUCUUUCCUAUCUUCUAUGUAAUUGUAUCAUAAGCCACACUCAUCCUUUAUUGGCAAAACUGUUAACUGUUAAUUGCUUAUACAGUUCAUGUUCAACAUAUUGGGAUCCAUUAAAAAGACUGUUGAAAAGCCAUAUAUGGGAUAAAUCUUUGUUUCUAUUGAUAAGAUUCAUUCUCUUAGACAAAUAAAUGGAUGACUUGGACACAACUCAGUCAUUUCCCUAAAUAUCGAUGAUGAUGGCACCACCACUUUUCCCGAAGAGCGUGGUGCCGAUGCUAUGGUGCAAGACACUAAUAACUUGGAAGGGGGUCAAGAUUUAGGGGCAGCACUCGCAAGAGGAGUGGAUAUUGAGCCCAAAAUUGGCAUGUCAUUCGAUAAAGAAGAUGAUGCCAAAGCCUAUUACUUAAAUUACACCAAAGUUGUGGGGUUUGGCAUACGAAUGGGAGGUACAUUUCGAAAAGACGGUGGAAGAGCUGGACUAGUGAUUUGAGUGUUCGAGACAAGGAAUCUGUCAUCAAACAUAUGAGGGCAAUCAAAACCCUCGUCCCCAGACAAGGUGUGGGUGUUUGCAAAAUUGCGACUUUUGGAAAAUGAGAAACAAAAAUGGGUAGUUGUUAAGUUUGUGAAAGAGCAUAACUAUGCUCCCACAUCACCACCUAAAACUAGGUUCAUGCGCUCCCACUGGAAGACUUCCGACUCUGUAAAAAAAAUUAUCAACACCAUGGGGUCUUCAUUGAUUAAGUCAAGGGUUAUAAUGGAUUACCUUAAUGAGGAAACUGAAGGAGCGAAAAAUGUGUCCGUCAUUGCCAAAGACCUUGAGAACCACCUACAUAGGGAAAGGAGGAAACCGAAAGGAAGUGGUGGACAUAUGGUUUUGAAAUGGUUGCAUUCCAAGCAAUAUUUGAAUCCUACGUUUUUUUAGAGCACGACUUGAUGAAUUAGGAAUGCUUAUUGAUAUUGUUUGGGUAGAAUCUAGUGCGAUAAUGUAUAACAAUUUUUUCAUAACGUGGUAACAUUUGAUACCACAUCAAAUAAACGCAUUUAGCAUGCCUUUUGGGCCGAUCUUUGGAGUCAAUCAUCAUAAUAAUACUAUUUUCUUUGGAUGUGCCCUUAUUUUUUAUGAGACAACUGAAUCAGUUAUUUGGCUAUUUGAAAGUUGGUUGGAGGUAAUGGGAGGAAAACAACCACGUACAAUUAUAACUGCUCAAGAUUUAGCUAUAUCUACCGCAGUUAAUAAGGUCUUCCCUGAGAGUAAUCAUCACUUUUGUAAUUGGCACAUAAUGGGAAAGUUUAAAACAAAGUUGGGUCAUGCUAUGCGCGUGCAUGCACACUUUUGAGACGGAUUGAAGAAGUGUUUUUGUGCAUCCACGAUUGAGUUGUUUGAGUCCAAAUGGAAAGAAAUGAUUGAGAAAUAUGCUCUAGAAGAAGAAACUUGGCUGCAGUAGUUAUAUGGUUGUCGCAAUCAAUGGGCUGAUGGGUAUAUUUGUGAUAGGUUCACUGUAGAGGUGACGACAACAUAACACAAUGAGAGAUUCAAUUGUGAGAUCAAAGCUUAUGUGUCUUCGGGUAAGAGUCUUCAUACAUUUUUGAAUGCCAUUUAGAAGUUGCAAGAUAAAAGCGUUUUUCAAAGAAAUAGAACGACUCUAAAAAUCUAACAUCCACUCCUGCUUUGAAGACACCCUUUAAAAUAGAGCGUCAUGCAUCAAGGGUCAACACUCAAAAGGUUUUUGGAAAAUUUUAAAAGGAACUAGUUGAAUCUGUAGGUUGUAGGAUUGAAUUCAUUGAGGACAAUGAGAUCUAUGUCAAAUAUGAUUUAGAAGACUCUCAAGGGGCGUCCAUCCAUCACAUUGUUACAUUCAAUGGGCCAGAAAGCAAAGCCACUUGCACAUGUCACAUGUAUGAGCGUGUUGGCAUCCCUUGUUCGCAUAUACUUCUGAUUUUCAGUGUGAAGAAUGUGGUGGAGAUCCCAUUGCAUUACAUAUUGAGGCGUCGGACAAUGGAUGCGAAGAAGGGCAUAAUGGGUGAUACACAUGGUAUUGGGAAUUCAAAUCCAUCUACUUUUCCUCGAUUCAUUAGGCGGCAUGAAUUCUCUGAGUUUGUAUGGACAAUUGAAGAGCCUUAAAUAGAAAAAUGAUGAGGUAUUUGAGAAACUAAAGUCAAGUUGGUCGUCAAUAGCCAAUGAAUACAAUGUCGCACUUGUCAAUUGUCAGCCAAAUGAUGGUAAUCAGCCAGAUGAUGAACCCCCACUUGACACUAGUUACUCAGAUGAUGAGCCUCCUCUUGUGACUGUAUAGAAUCCACCACGUGUUCAAGCAAAGGGUCGGUCAAGAACAAAAAAGGAUGGAACUUGGCUAGUGAGAAAGAGAUGCCAAGUACAAGGAAAUGUGUGGUAUGCAGUCAGAGUGGUCAUGACAAGCGUAAUUGCCCGGUGAUGAGAUGAAACUUAGCUUGGCUGGUGGGAAUGUUCCAAGUGGUGUGAUGGGUUCUCAAAAUAGCAAGGCAGCAAAUGGAAGUGAUGCGAGAAGGUCGAAAAGGAAGGGCUUUUGAAGGGCUAAAGAUUUAGGAUGAAUUUCUUGAUAAUUGAAUACUAUGGAUCAAUUGCUUGCUGCAAUUUUUAGCCAAUUGUAGCUGGUAUCCCCUCUUUUUUUUUUUAUGUAUGGCAUUUCCUAGGUCUCUUGUGGGUCUUUGUACAGGGCGCCCAUUUAUAGGGUUGGCUAUUUUUGUAGAGCAUUGCUUGGGCCUUAUGUGAGAUGACAUGAUAUGAUCAAGUUUUUGUCACUGAGUCGCAAAUGAUUGCUUAUAUUGGAAAUAGUUCAAAAUCCUUGUUUUGAUCAAGUUCUGUUUA